UUCGUAGGUGAACCUGCGGAGGGAUCAUUACCGAGUUUACAACUCCCAAACCCCUGUGAACAUACCUAUACGUUGCCUCGGCGGAUCAGCCCGCGCCCCGUAAAACGGGACGGCCCGCCCGAGGACCCCUAAACUCUGUUUUUAGUGGAACUUCUGAGUAAAACAAACAAAUAAAUCAAAACUUUCAACAACGGAUCUCUUGGUUCUGGCAUCGAUGAAGAACGCAGCAAAAUGCGAUAAGUAAUGUGAAUUGCAGAAUUCAGUGAAUCAUCGAAUCUUUGAACGCACAUUGCGCCCGCCAGUAUUCUGGCGGGCAUGCCUGUUCGAGCGUCAUUUCAACCCUCAAGCUCAGCUUGGUGUUGGGACUCGCGGUAACCCGCGUUCCCCAAAUCGAUUGGCGGUCACGUCGAGCUUCCAUAGCGUAGUAAUCAUACACCUCGUUACUGGUAAUCGUCGCGGCCACGCCGUUAAACCCCAACUUCUGAAUGUUGACCUCGGAUCAGGUAGGAAUACCCGCUGAACUUAAGCAUAUCAA
rnacentral:rRNA from 1 species